rnacentral:sRNA from 1 species
UUUCUUGAUCAUUGUGCUAGUGAUUAUAUAAUGUAGUUUCUGAUCUUUUGUCAGUCUUUUUCUGUCACUGUGCUUCUGACUCAAUUGAAUUUCAGUCCUUGGAUUGAUUCUUGCAUGGAGACAGUUUUUAACUGAAGUACUUACAUCUCUAUUCUUUGGUGAGCUACAUGAGUGGCAAAAAGAAUGCUGACUAAUCUUGCUGAUAACUCUAAAUUAUCUAGUCUCAGAUAUGAUGAGUUUCUGCAAAUGACAAUGGGUUGCUGUAUCAUUAUUGCUUGAGAUUGAUAUCAACUGCUAUCACAAUUGCCAUUAUUACUGAAUUAUUACUAAUUACUCAAUAUUCUAGAAGAUGAUGUUGAGUUUUCAAUGAUAUCACAUGAUCAAUAGAUCUUCUCACUUGAAUCUGAAUGAGAUCUUACAGCGCAGGUAAUUUUUAUGUUGUUAUAAUUGCAACGAUAUUAGC